GGCCGCGGGAAUUCCAUUAAAGCCUAACACAUGCAAGUCGAACGGAAAGGCCUCCUUUUGCUGGGGUACUCGAGUGGCGAACGGGUGAGUAACACGUGGGUGAUCUGCCCUGCACUUUGGGAUAAGCUUGGGAAACUGGGUCUAAUACCGAAUAUGACCACUUCUUGGAUGUUGUGAUGGAAAGCUUUUGCGGUGUGGGAUGAGCCUGCGGCCUAUCAGCUUGUUGGUGGGGUAAUGGCCUACCAAGGCGGCGACGGGUAUCCGGCCUGAGAGGGUGUACGGACACAUUGGGACUGAGAUACGGCCCAGACUCCUACGGGAGGCAGCAGUGGGGAAUAUUGCACAAUGUUUUCAAGCCUGAUGCAGCGACGCCGCGUGGGGGAUGAAGGCCUUCGGGUUGUAAACUCCUUUCGCUAUCGACGAAGCCACUUGUGGUGACGGUAGGUAGAUAAGAAGCACCGGCUAACUACGUGCCAGCAGCCGCGGUAAUACGUACGGUGCAAGCGUUGUCCGGAAUUACUGGGCGUAAAGAGCUCGUAGGUGGUUUGUCGCGUCGUCUGUGAAAUCCCGGGGCUUAACUUCGGGCGUGCAGGCGAUACGGGCAUAAC
rnacentral:rRNA from 1 species